rnacentral:lncRNA from 1 species
GCUUAAAGCUCAUUAAUAAUAACCAUCAGCACUGAGAUUUCAAAACUCGCCUUGCCUGAGCAUGAGAAACUCCAUGGUUCUUUGAAGAUACUGCUCUAAUUUUACUUUCAUCAUGCACUACAGGACAAUGAAGUGUUGCAUCUCCCUACCAAAGAAAACAUGCCAAAGAUAUGCUGUUUACCAAAGUCUUCUGAAGUUUGUGAGACUGAAAUCACAAGGGAUUCAGUAGCUGUGUUUUCAACUGUUUGAGAAUUUUUGCAAUUAACUUCUCAACGUAUGGGUGGAGGACAGGAGGGAAGUAAUCCUGUUGUCUUAGCUGCCAGCAUGUACAUCUUAACAAACUUUUUUGCCUUUCUGUGGAGUCCCUUCUGAGCAGCUUGCCUCUUUGGCUGGCAGCUGCGACAGUCGGGCUCCCCUGCAGGUGCGCUUGUUAAAGACACCGAAAUCCCAAGGUGGCAGCUGCCGAAAUGAGCGGCUGUUUCUGCUAACUCGUCCUUUCGCAGCUAGCCUUCCUCCCAGCCGCUGCGGGGCAGGAGUCAAGCGUUGGCGGUACAUCCUGAAAAAUACUGCAUGCUGGUGAGCUCCGAAAGAGCAGAGGGUACGACCCUAGCUGUCUGCGUUGCAUCGGCGGUGUUUGCAGGACGCCUGGUUUCCAUUUAAACACCCUCGCAGUGGCUCGUGCGGCCCGUCGCCUUGCCCGUGGCAGCGGCCGUUAGCUGGGCCACCAGCCUGGAGGUUCUCAGAGCUCUGUGAAUGGGUGAGCUUUGGCCACAGCUAUUUGACUGAAAUUUUGGGCAAGCUCCCUGUGUGAAAGACCGCAUAGGAAGAGCCUUCUAGAUGUGUGGUUGCUGUACAUGAAGAGUAUGUGUAAGGAAAAUUUCACUUUACAAUUCAAGUUAUAACAUCAAGCUUUAGAAAUGCCCAGAUCUUUUUGGCUUUCAUUUGCACAGACAUUUUAAUAUACUGCUUAAUUCAAACCAAAGAUUUCUUUUGCUCAGUUUAUAUAUAUUCUAUUUCAUUUUUAAUCUUUUGUGGUAGAACGUUCUCCCAAAGUUGCUAUAGAAGGGUAUAUCUCAUCACAGAGAAGCUAUUUCCAAGGGUGUCUGCACACUGUGUAUUGAAUGUCACUCAACAUGCAUUUAAAAGCAGAUAUCUGUUUCUGGCCAUUUUAAGAAAAAAAACUCUCGCAGGACCUCUGGCACGGUACAGCGUGAUGCGCUCUGCGUUGCUGCGCGUUGCUCAGGGCGUGCAGGGAGCUGCCGCGGCUGCAGCUGCUCACCUGAGAACGGAGAAGAAACUCCUAUGCGGCCUUUGGGACAUAUUUGGGAAUGCAAUGAACAACAGACCUGGAGAACCAGCAUCACAGAAACUGAGGUUAACAAGAUCUUGGAGCUUCACGACCAAGGGCUUGGUACCUCAUGGUCGCAUGGUCCAACUGAAAAGCACUGGGACAUCUUGCUCUCUGGACACCACCACUGCACAAAGCCCCUGCCAGGUUCCCAGGACCAUCCGUACAGCUGCGGGGCUGGCUCUUCCUCCACCGUAAUUCUGGGUUGCACCUGACCUGUAGGAGAAACCUUUCAGCUAAAAACUUGGAUGUGGCCCUAGGCGUCAAGAAGCAAGCAUGCUGCUCCAGAACUACGAUACGGAUAAAGCAUGGACACGAGGGAGAGCCACGUGGCUGUCCAGUAGAGCUUCCAACAGUCGUGUCAAGUGAUAAUCACUGCAGCCUGACACAAUGAGGUAGCUGUGGCUUGGAACAGGGGAGGGAACAUGGAGUCUUGCCUUUUAGGGUUUGUUGCUUCCCUUUUGCUGUACAAGGUGUCGCAGAGAGCUCUGAAGCUGGAUUCGCUGCUGCUGAACUCCUUAUGAAGUCAAUGGAGUUGCUAUUCCACCUCUCCGCUUGCUUAAAGUGUGUGUUGUAGAUCUCCCUUCACCCAUUCAUUCAUUUCUUCCCUUUUAAUGAGUAGGUUAAAUUUCUUGUGUGGUACAGCAAGCAUUUGAGAUGUGAAGGUUCCUUUUCCUCAUCUCCCUCUUAUUGAAGGUGGCUUUGCUCCCAGUAACUCCUGUCAUGACAUAAUUGGACCUUAUUCUCACAUAAAUACCAGAGUUAGAGUUACUGUUGUUGGGUUUUUCCAUUAUUUUGGGUGGCUGAUAUUUUUCACAUUCCUAUUCUCUUCUUAACGCAAAGCUGACUACAUUUACUAGGUUUGUUUGCCUUCCUCAGAAGGACUUGAAUAUUAGUCCUCAACUUGUCUGUGUAUCUCUACUUUUCUUACUCUCCCCUUUCAUUGAUUUAUGACACAUGUGGAGGCCAAGAGGCAGUACAGGACAUGAAUCAUAUAAAAAGAAUGCAGACAUUUCAUUUGCGUAAGUUAAUUGUUUUAUUUUUACCUGUCCCUUGUGUUUCUGCAAUCCUAUGGGUGGUGUCUUAGAAAAAUACAGAUAGUAGACUGGACCACUGCCAAGUGCUGCAAGUAUCACAUGCUUUGCAAAAGGUUGCAACAUCUUAGUGGGAAUGAUUAUCUUCACAGUAGAGAUGGUAA